AUCAAUAGUAUGCAAGUAUAAACACCAUGGGACCACGCAGCCGUCAUACCGCUCAGGAAGGAGACGCGUUCUGUCUCCUAGAGAUGAACGUACUUUGGUGCGAAAAGUGCAAAUCAAUCCCAGAACAACAGCAAAGGACCUUGUAAAGAUACUGGAGGAAACAGGUACAAAAGUAUCUAUAUCCACAGUAAAACGAGUCCUAUAUCGACAUAACCUGAAAGGCCGCUCAGCAAGGAAGAAGCCACUGCUCCAAAACCGUCAAAAAAAGCCAGACUACGGUUUGCAACUGCACAUGGGGACAAAGAUCGUACUUUUUGGAGAAAUGUCCUCUGGUCUGAUGAAACAAAAAUAGAACUGUUUGGCCAUAAUGACCAUCGUUAUGUUUGGAGGAAAAAGAGGGAGGCUUGCAAGCCGAAGGACAACAUUCCAACCGCGAAGAACGGGGGUGGCAGCAUCACUUUAUGGGGGUGCUUUGCUGCAGGAGGGACUGGUGCACUUCACAAAAUAGAUUGCAUCAUGAGGUAGGAAAAUUAUGUGGAUAUAUUGAAGCAACAUCUCAAGACAUCAGUCAGGAAGUUAAAGCUUGGUCGCAAAAGCCUAAAAUUGCCUUUUUCAUUGAGGGGAUUGGCAAAAUGUUCCCACUUGUCUUAAUGUUCCUUGUUUUACUAUCCUUGUGAGGACUUCUGGUAACCACAAGGAUAGUAAAACCAAACACAUACACACACACACACAGACUCAUGUAAACUAUUUUGUUUACACUCUCAGAUAGUUGGAAUCGUUCGUACAGAUCUCUCUGACUGAAGCACAUCCACAACAGGAAGAUUUUGCACAGCGACAUGAAAGCACAGAAUAUAUUCCUUGCCAAGAGUGGGAUGAAAGCCAAGCUGGGAGACUUUGGCAUCGCAAGAAUGUUAAACUAGCCUACAAAGUGAAAGCCAAAAUGUCAGUGUUUUGGUGAAGUGAAUUAUGGAGGGUCUACAUGGCACGCCCACAUGUAUGCUCUAGUUGGUUGGCCCUCGCUACAUAUUCGUCGCCAGACCCACUGGCUCCAGGUCAUCUCUAAGUCUAUGCUAGGUAAAGCUCCACCUUAUCUCAGCUCACUGGUCCCGAU